rnacentral:rRNA from 1 species
GAUGAACGCUAGCGGCAGGCCUAAUACAUGCAAGUCGAGGGGCAGCAGGAAUAGCAAUAUUUGCUGGCGACCGGCGCACGGGUGCGUAACACGUAUACAAUCUGCCUUCUACAGGGGGAUAGCCUUUCGAAAGAGAGAUUAAUACCCCAUAAUACAAGUAAUAGCAUUAUUUUUUGUUGAAAGUUCCGACGGUAGAAGAUGAGUAUGCGGGUGAUUAGCUAGUUGGUGAGGUAACGGCUCACCAAGGCAACGAUCACUAGGGGAUCUGAGAGGACUACCCCCCACACUGGUACUGAGACACGGACCAGACUCCUACGGGAGGCAGCAGUAAGGAAUAUUGGACAAUGGAGGCAACUCUGAUCCAGCCAUGCCGCGUGCAGGAUAAAGGCCCUAUGGGUCGUAAACUGCUUUUGUACGGGAGAAAACCUAUCUACGUGUAGAUAGUUGAUAGUACCGUAAGAAUAAGGAUCGGCUAACUUCGUGCCAGCCGCCGCCGUAAAAC